UCGGGAUAGAUCCAGAUGUGCGGGGGGGUGAAUUCAGGUGGAUCCAGAUGUGCGGGAGCUUUUGGAUCGGAUGUGCGGGGAGGUUUUGAAUCCGGGUGGAUCCAGAUGUGCGGGGAGGUUUUGAAUCCGGGUGGAUCCAGAUGUGCGUUUUUGGGCAGGGCCGUAGCGCUCGGAUGCUGCUGACGGGACAAUGAGUGAGGUCUGUCCUUGUCGCGGCUUUGGGGUCCCCGAGGGUGGCUUUGGGCUGAGCCCCCUCCACAGCACACCGAGUUCCUCUGCUCCCGGAGAAACGUGAGAUUUGGGGCCUGAACAAAACACCUAGGCCAGGGUGAGGCUUCGAAUUUACAAAAACCAAAGCAAAAUCAAAAAAAAGAGAGAUGCCAGCGCUGAAGGUGCACAGGAAGGGCGGCCCGUGGCUGUCCCCGAGUGUCACUGAGUGUCACCCACCCCGCGGCACAGCCUGGCAGUGCCUGACAUUACUGCUGAUAACAUCGGAUAAGUAUUGAUAAUAAUUAACAAUACUUAUUUGUGGCCUCGCAGAGAUUGGGAAGGUCUCGGAAUCCUAAGGUACCCCCGGCUGCGGCGGUUCAGUCGCGGAGGGCUCUGAUUUACACCGUGUCACAAAAUUCCCGGGGACAACAGCCGGGAGCGGCUCCUGCUCGGGUGGGGCGAGCGAGGUCGGAGCUUUUUUGGGGGAAAGGAGCGGCUGUGCUGCUCCAGGGCCGCGGGGAAGAGCCCGGCCCUUGCCCCGGGGACACCGGCGGCACCCGGAGCCGCGACACCGCCACCCGGAGCCCUCUGGCCACGCCCACUGCGCAGAUUUCCCGCCCACAAAACACUAACCCCGCCCCCGGCCACGCCCAUGACCACACCCCGCCCCGCCCCUUUGUCCCUGGCCACGCCCCAAUCCCCGCCCCAUGACUCCUCCCCUUGCAAAGCCCCUCCCCCCCGACCACACCCAUGAAUUGGCCCCGCCCCCUGACCUUGCUCCCGCCUAUAUCCCCAUCCCAAAAGUGAAAUCCAGGCCACGCCCCCUCGGCCACGCCCACCCCUCAUCCAUUGACCACACCCCGUCCACGUCAAUCAUUUAUUGGACACGCCCCGAACCGCUCCCUCAUUAAUUAACCGCGCCCUCGCCACGUCAGUCAUGCCUUGGCCACGCCCAUCGGUAUUUGGCCACGCCCAUCGCCCGUUGGCCACGCCCCUUCCCUCCCGCGCGGUGGUGGCGCCCCCUCGCGGCCAGCUCAGGCGUUUUUUCCCUUUUUCCACAUCUUUUAUUUUUCCUUUUUUCCACAUCUUUUAUUUUUCCCCCUCCCUUUUUUCCAUAAAAAUUUUGUCAUAAAAGCCUUCCUCUCGCGCCGUAUACAAAAUAUUCACUCUAGCGAAUAAAUAAAACACGAACGGGCAGGAUGUGACCAGCAUCCAUCCAUCCAUCCCCCCAGUCCUUCCCUGUCCCGGGGAUUCACAACAGCGAAUUCACACAGCAGCUCUCCCUCCUCCACACUCCAAACGCGACAAAGGAAAGGUGAGGCAGGAGUCACCUGUGAGGGAGAGAUUCACCUCAUACCUGGAGGGGAAAAACUCCUGCUCAGCAGCCCUGAGGGGCUCCUACCCAAACCUGGAUAUAAAGGACAAAAUCCCAGAGAAAUCCUGUGCUCACACAGGAAUAUCAGUGACAGCAGGGAAGGGAUGCUCUUACCCAGACUAGAACAUCCAUUGCUGGUCAUACACGUGGUCCUGAUGCAGAAAUUUUCUUAGAAGAAGCCAAAAAAAGCCAAUUUUGUGAAGAUUUCCCCUCUCCCUCACCCUGAUCUCCCUUUACAAGCCCCAGCUCUGAGCGCCUCUGACCCUUUUAUCACCUGGGGGUGUGAAAUGAAGAAUUUAAGGCCUUUCCCACCAAACCCCUUCACCUGAAGCUCAGUGUGGAAGCACCUGAGGCACUUAAAUAUCAAAAGCAUUCCCUGUGCAGGGGAAAGUUCCUCAUACUUAUAUCAGAAAUAUUCAAAAUAAAGGGGUUUUCAGCCUUGGAAAGAAUUAAUUCAAGGACACCCCACCUCUGGCAAAAUAGGAUUUUGUCUGGAAUCCUCCCUGCAGUGGGGUAGGAAGUGCAGACCCCACAGCCGUUUCUGGAAGUGGUUAAGCCAAAUCUGUCCCCAAGGCAGCCCUUGCUGUGGGAAAGGGAGGCUGGCAGCCCUAUAAUUUGAGAAGAACUAAAACAAAAACAGUGACCCCUGACGGGAAAAGGGACAAUUCCAAACCUUUGAGGGCCCGGCUCAGACAGCAGGGGAGUCACCCCGGCCUCCCUGCCAAGGGACAGGCUGACAAAACUCUGCCAAAAUAGCAACAUCUCUCCCUCCAGCCGACCUCAGCAGCGCCUCUGGCUGCCCACACACCUCCACAAAAACAGAAAUCGCUCACAAACAGCCUUGAGCCCGGGCAGAGCCGGGUUAUUGUGGAGUUUUUGUGCUCACAGCACCGACCCAGCCUUUCCUCUGCACGCUGUGGAUCAUUCCUGAGCAGGGCCAGCGCCUCAGCUCCUCCUCGGGAGCUCCUGGAGAGGUGGGAAUGUGGCAGCAGCGGGUUUGUCCCAGCUGGGGACAGGGAGUGGGACUGGCCAGGGGGACUCUGCUGGGGGACUCAGGGCUGGGAGCCAGAACAGCCUGGAGGGUCGGGUUAGGGCAGCAGGAGCUGCUGUGCCUCAGUGAGAAUAAAAUCCAUUUUAACAAAGCCCAAACAGCCACAGGCAGUGACCAGGACUGAGUUUAACUCGCUCAGGAACUCAGGAGAGCUCCUCCUGCUCUGCUUCACUGCCACAGGACUGAAAACCCCUCUGGGGACAGAUUUCCCUCGUGUGUGGCAGCAUCUUUUAGGGGCACAGAGCCUGGAUCCAUGAGGGGAGAGAGCAACUGCAGGCCCAGGCACUGAGGUGAGGAGUGAGAGGUCAGAGUGACUGGGAACUGUGUGAGGAAAGGUAAAAACAAUCAUUAAAAAAAUAAAAAAAUAAAUAAAGCUCAGAAGUU